GACGAACGCUGGCGGCGUGCCUAAUACAAGCAAGUAGAACGCACAGUUUAUACCGUAGCUUGCUACACCAUAGACUGUGAGUUGCGAACGGGUGAGUAACGCGUAGGUAACCUGCCUGGUAGCGGGGGAUAACUAUUGGAAACGAUAGCUAAUACCGCAUAAUAUUAAUUAUUGCAUGAUAAUUAAUUGAAAGGUGCAAUUGCACCACUACCAGAUGGACCUGCGUUGUAUUAGCUAGUAGGUGAGGUAACGGCUCACCUAGGCGACGAUACAUAGCCGACCUGAGAGGGUGAUCGGCCACACUGGAACUGAGACACGGCCCAGACUCCUACGGGAGGCAGCAGUAGGGAUCUUCGGCAAUGGACGAAAGUCUGACCGAGCAACGCCGCGUGAGGGAAGAAGGUUGUCGGAUCGUAAAGCUCUGUUGUAAGAGAAGAACGGGUGUGAGAGUGGAAAGUUCACACUGUGACGGUAUCUGACCAGAAAGGGACGGCUAACUACGUG
rnacentral:rRNA from 1 species